AUGUCCGUGGGAGAAUCCCUUGGUUUUCAUAGUCUGUAUUCAUUUGCAGAAUUCUUACAACAUCACAUAAAUUCUCCCGAAGCCAGUUCCUGUUUGUCCAGCAAGCGAAAACCUUUGAAGCCUUUGAACUUAUUAAAGCCUUUCAGUUUAAAGUUCAAGGCUUCAGAGAAAUCAGCAAGGAAGAGUGGCAGAAAGCGUCGAGAAGAAACAUCAAGAGAUCUGCACGAUGACCUCUCAGAGCUGUACAAGACAGAUCCUGAAGAGGAUUACAAUCAACGCAAGACACGAAUCCAAUGGAUUCGACGCUAUUGGGCAGAACAGUGGUUCAAGUACAGAUUUGUGAUCAAGAAAUAUGCUGAAAAGAAUGCCAUCAAGCGACCAUGGGAAGACAUCCUCUACAAAAAAUUUCAACCCAGGACCAGAGAUGAAGCCAUUGAACAAGACUUCUAUCCCUGCAUGGUCCGUGGACCACAGCCUGCGGAUGAUGACCCAUCGUCCCUGCUAUGGUGUCGUGACGACAAUCUGUUUAAGCACAACUUUCAGUUUGCCCAGAACUCAGUGAAGCAGAACAAGAAGACUUUGGGUUUAGAUUUCAACCCUGGUCCCUCUGCUCCCCGUGCCGAUGGAACUCGCGAAGCUGAACCCAAUCUUCUUGGGCCCUUCUACAACCUUGAAGGUCUCAUCACUCACAUCAUGGUUCAAGGGACAGCCGUGAAUGAGCCUGCAGAUGAAGCUGAAUCAGAUGAAGCGCCUGCAGCGCCGAAGCCAAAGAAGCUGAAGCAGCCAAAAGCUUCAAAGCCGGCCUCUGCACCAAAAAUCUCACGGGCGAAGCCACUGACAACUGCACCUCCUAAAGACAGUGUGCAGUCUGAAGAUUUGUCACGCAUCACCAAGCCCAGAAGGUCAAGAUGCCUCUGCCACACACCGGUCAAGAGCUAA
rnacentral:rRNA from 1 species